GAUGAACGCUGGCGGCGUGCCUAAUACAUGCAAGUCGAGCGAACAGACGAGGAGCUUGCUCCUCUGACGUUAGCGGCGGACGGGUGAGUAACACGUGGAUAACCUACCUAUAAGACUGGGAUAACUUCGGGAAACCGGAGCUAAUACCGGAUAAUAUAUUGAACCGCAUGGUUCAAUAGUGAAAGACGGUUUUGCUGUCACUUAUAGAUGGAUCCGCGCCGCAUUAGCUAGUUGGUAAGGUAACGGCUUACCAAGGCAACGAUGCGUAGCCGACCGGAGAGGGUGAUCGGCCACACGGGAACGGAGACACGGUCCAUACUCCUACGAGAGGCAGCAGUAGGGAAUCUUCCGCAAUGGGCGAAAGCCUGACGGAGCAACGCCGCGUGAGUGAUGAAGGUCUUCGGAUCGUAAAACUCUGUUAUUAGGGAAGAACAAAUGUGUAAGUAACUAUGCACGUCUUGACGGUACCUAAUCAGAAAGCCACGGCUAACUACGUG
rnacentral:rRNA from 1 species